GAUGAACGCUGGCGGCGUGCCUAAUACAUGCAAGUCGAGCGAACGGACGAGAAGCUUGCUUCUCUGAUGUUAGCGGCGGACGGGUGAGUAACACGUGGAUAACCUACCUAUAGGACUGGGAUAACUUCGGGAAACCGUAGCUAAUACCGGAUAAUAUUUUGAACCGCAUGGUUCAAAAGUGAAAGACGGUCUUGCUGUCACUUAUAGAUGGAUCCGCGCUGCAUUAGCUAGUUGGUAAGGUAACGGCUUACCAAGGCAACGAUGCAUAGCCGACCUGAGAGGGUGAUUGGCCACACUGGAACUGAGACACGGUCCAGACUCCUACGGGAGGCAGCAGUAGGGAAUCUUCCGCAAUGGGCGAAAGCCUGACGGAGCAACGCCGCGUGAGUGAUGAAGGUCUUCGGAUCGUAAAACUCUGUUAUUAGGGAAGAACAUAUGUGUAAGUAACUGUGCACAUCUUGACGGUACCUAAUCAGAAAGCCACGGCUAACUACGUG
rnacentral:rRNA from 1 species